UACGUAGGGAGCAAGCGUUGUUCGGAGUUACUGGGCGUAAAGGGCGCGUAGGCGGCCUUAUAAGUAUGGUGUGAAAUCUCCCGGCUUAACUGGGAGGGUGCGCUAUAGACUGUGGGGCUAGAGUGUGGGAGAGGAAAGUGGAAUUCCUGGUGUAGCGGUGAAAUGCGUAGAUAUCAGGAGGAACACCGGUGGUGUAAACGGCUUUCUGGACCAUAACUGACGCUGAGGCACGAAAGCGUGGGUAGCAAACAGG
rnacentral:rRNA from 1 species